UACGAAGGGGGCUAGCGUUGCUCGGAAUCACUGGGCGUAAAGCGCACGUAGGCGGCUUUCUAAGUCAGGGGUGAAAUCCUGGAGCUCAACUCCAGAACUGCCUUUGAUACUGGAAAGCUUGAGUUCGGGAGAGGUGAGUGGAACUGCGGGUGUAGAGGUGAAAUUCGUAGAUAUUCGCAAGAACACCAGUGGCGAAGGCGGCUCGCUGGCCCGAUACUGACGCUGAGGUGCGAAAGCGUGGGGAGCAAACGGG
rnacentral:rRNA from 1 species